GCCCAGGUGGUGGAAUGGUAGACACGAGGGAUUCAAAAUCCCUUUCCUUCGGGAGUGAGGGUUCGAGCCCCUCUCUGGGUACCA
rnacentral:tRNA from 1 species